GAUUAAGUUAUUAAGGGCGCACGGUGGAUGCCUUGGCACUAGAAGCCGAUGAAGGACGUUACUAACGACGAUAUGCUUUGGGGAGCUGUAAGUAAGCUUUGAUCCAGAGAUUUCCGAAUGGGGAAACCCAGCAUGAGUUAUGUCAUGUUAUCGAUAUGUGAAUACAUAGCAUAUCAGAAGGCACACCCGGAGAACUGAAACAUCUUAGUACCCGGAGGAAGAGAAAGAAAAUUCGAUUCCCUUAGUAGCGGCGAGCGAAACGGGAAGAGCCCAAACCAACAAGCUUGCUUGUUGGGGUUGUAGGACACUCUAUACGGAGUUACAAAGGACGACAUUAGACGAAUCAUCUGGAAAGAUGAAUCAAAGAAGGUAAUAAUCCUGUAGUCGAAAAUGUUGUCUCUCUUGAGUGGAUCCUGAGUACGACGGAGCACGUGAAAUUCCGUCGGAAUCUGGGAGGACCAUCUCCUAAGGCUAAAUACUCUCUAGUGACCGAUAGUGAACCAGUACCGUGAGGGAAAGGUGAAAAGCACCCCGGAAGGGGAGUGAAAUAGAACCUGAAACCGUGUGCUUACAAGUAGUCAGAGCCCGUUAAUGGGUGAUGGCGUGCCUUUUGUAGAAUGAACCGGCGAGUUACGAUUUGAUGCAAGGUUAAGCAGUAAAUGUGGAGCCGUAGCGAAAGCGAGUCUGAAUAGGGCGUUUAGUAUUUGGUCGUAGACCCGAAACCAGGUGAUCUACCCUUGGUCAGGUUGAAGUUCAGGUAACACUGAAUGGAGGACCGAACCGACUUACGUUGAAAAGUGAGCGGAUGAACUGAGGGUAGCGGAGAAAUUCCAAUCGAACCUGGAGAUAGCUGGUUCUCUCCGAAAUAGCUUUAGGGCUAGCCUCAAGUGAUGAUUAUUGGAGGUAGAGCACUGUUUGGACGAGGGGCCCCUCUCGGGUUACCGAAUUCAGACAAACUCCGAAUGCCAAUUAAUUUAACUUGGGAGUCAGAACAUGGGUGAUAAGGUCCGUGUUCGAAAGGGAAACAGCCCAGACCACCAGCUAAGGUCCCAAAAUAUAUGUUAAGUGGAAAAGGAUGUGGCGUUGCCCAGACAACUAGGAUGUUGGCUUAGAAGCAGCCAUCAUUUAAAGAGUGCGUAAUAGCUCACUAGUCGAGUGACACUGCGCCGAAAAUGUACCGGGGCUAAACAUAUUACCGAAGCUGUGGAUUGUCCUUUGGACAAUGGUAGGAGAGCGUUCUAAGGGCGUUGAAGCAUGAUCGUAAGGACAUGUGGAGCGCUUAGAAGUGAGAAUGCCGGUGUGAGUAGCGAAAGACGGGUGAGAAUCCCGUCCACCGAUUGACUAAGGUUUCCAGAGGAAGGCUCGUCCGCUCUGGGUUAGUCGGGUCCUAAGCUGAGGCCGACAGGCGUAGGCGAUGGAUAACAGGUUGAUAUUCCUGUACCACCUAUAAUCGUUUUAAUCGAUGGGGGGACGCAGUAGGAUAGGCGAAGCGUGCGAUUGGAUUGCACGUCUAAGCAGUAAGGCUGAGUAUUAGGCAAAUCCGGUACUCGUUAAGGCUGAGCUGUGAUGGGGAGAAGACAUUGUGUCUUCGAGUCGUUGAUUUCACACUGCCGAGAAAAGCCUCUAGAUAGAAAAUAGGUGCCCGUACCGCAAACCGACACAGGUAGUCAAGAUGAGAAUUCUAAGGUGAGCGAGCGAACUCUCGUUAAGG
rnacentral:rRNA from 1 species